UACGAAGGGGGCUAGCGUUGCUCGGAAUCACUGGGCGUAAAGGGUGCGUAGGCGGGUCUUUAAGUCAGGGGUGAAAUCCUGGAGCUCAACUCCAGAACUGCCUUUGAUACUGAGGAUCUUGAGUUCGGGAGAGGUGAGUGGAACUGCGAGUGUAGAGGUGAAAUUCGUAGAUAUUCGCACGAACACCAGUGGCGAAGGCGGCUCACUGGCCCGAUACUGACGCUGAGGCACGAAAGCGUGGGGAGCAAACAGG
rnacentral:rRNA from 1 species